UACGUAGGGUGCGAGCGUUGUCCGGAAUUAUUGGGCGUAAAGAGCUUGUAGGCGGUCUGUCGCGUCUGCUGUGAAAAUCCGGGGCUCAACCCCGGACUUGCAGUGGGUACGGGCAGACUAGAGUGUGGUAGGGGAGACUGGAAUUCCUGGUGUAGCGGUGAAAUGCGCAGAUAUCAGGAGGAACACCGAUGGCGAAGGCAGGUCUCUGGGCCACUACUGACGCUGAGAAGCGAGAGCAUGGGGAGCGAACAGG
rnacentral:rRNA from 1 species